UGGGGAAUAUUGGACAAUGGGCGCAAGCCUGAUCCAGCCAUGCCGCGUGAGUGACGAAGGUCUUCGGAUUGUAAAGCUCUUUUGCCAGGGACGAUAAUGACGGUACCUGGAGAAUAAGCCCCGGCUAACUUCGUGCCAGCAGCCGCGGUAAUACGAAGGGGGCUAGCGUUGUUCGGAAUUACUGGGCGUAAAGCGCACGUAGGCGGAUUUGUUAGUCAGGGGUGAAAUCCCGGGGCUCAACCUCGGAACUGCCUUUGAUACUGCAAGUCUCGAGUCCGAUAGAGGUGAGUGGAAUUCCUAGUGUAGAGGUGAAAUUCGUAGAUAUUAGGAAGAACACCAGUGGCGAAGGCGGCUCACUGGAUCGGUACUGACGCUGAGGUGCGAAAGCGUGGGGAGCAAACAGGAUUAGAUACCCUAGUAGUCCCUGAGCGGGCUGGCAAGGCGCAU
rnacentral:rRNA from 1 species